GGACUACUCGGGUUUCUAAUCCCGUUCGCUACCCUGGCUUUCGUGCCUCAGCGUCAGAAGAGACCCAGUAAGCCGCCUUCGCCACCGGUGUUCCCUAGGAUAUCAACGCAUUUCACCGCUCCACCCUAAGUUCCGCUUACCUCUGUCUCCCUCGAGCACGGUAGUUUUGGGCGCAGUUCCUCAGUUAAGCUGAGGUAUUUCACACCCAACUUUCCGCACAGCCUACGCACCCUUUAAGCCCAGUGAUUCCGAAUAACGUUCGUCAGGCUCGUCUUACCGCGGCUGCUGGCAC
rnacentral:rRNA from 1 species